rnacentral:tRNA from 1 species
GUUGGUUAUAGUAAGGCCUGGCCGGUUGGGAAAGCUAUAUGGACAGGUCAACACUGGUCGAUGCCCCGUGUUAA